UGUCAUGGAAACUUUAUUCAAAAUAUUUUUUCUGCUGAAACUAGUGACCAAUUUCAACUUUCAUUAGUUUUCUUUUGUCCCGGCUUAGUUCCAGGCAACCAACCAACAUAACCGACUUGACCAAAAAAAAAAGGUUUUAAUGUUAGAUACCUUGUCGUCGAUAAAUCGAGAUGGAAUGAUUUUGUUGGGACAAAAAUGGUCAGAAUAUCAAAUCCAUAUUUCAUCUCAAAAUUAU
rnacentral:lncRNA from 1 species